rnacentral:snoRNA from 1 species
UGUUCUGAUGAAAACCUUACUCAGCUCACUCAGAGCCUUGCAAUGCUGAUAACUUUUCCUAAUCCAACAUUCAUCAAAAAUCUGAUUCAACA